CGGUUUGCUACUGCAUAUUUGACUUUGGGAUGUUUGAAUGAUCAUAAAAUGCAGUUGAUGACUAUGUUUACUUCCAAUCAGUGGAGUUCAUGUAGGUUUGCAAGAAUAGAAGAAGGGAAACGAAUUCAAAAUUGUGUUUUGGACAGCAGGUUUUGGCAUGAUGUUACUAUAUGUAUUAAGGCAGCGUAUCCUCUAAUUAAAGUUCUUCGAUUAGUUGAUUCUGAUGAGAAACCAGCUAUGGGUUUUAUAUAUAAAGCAAUGGAUGAAGCAAAAGAGAAGAUACAAGUGAAUUUUGGUUCUGUGAAAAAAAGUUAUAUACCUAUAUGGAAUAUUGUUGAUGCAAGAUGGGAACUUCAACUCCACAGACCCUUACAUGCAGCAGCUUAUUAUUUGAAUCCUCAUUAUC